rnacentral:rRNA from 1 species
GCUACGGGUGGCAGCAGUGGGGAAUAUUUGGCAAUGGGCGCAAGCCUGACCCAGCAACGCCGCGUGAAGGAAGAAGGCUUUCGGGUUGUCAACUUCUUUUGACAGGGAAGAGCAGAAGACGGUACCUGGGGAGGAAGCUCCGGCUAACUACGUGCCAGCAGCCGCGGUAAUACGUAGGGAGCGAGCGUUGUCCGGAAUUACUGGGUGUAAAGGGAGCGUAGGCGGGGGUGCACGUUGGGUGUCAAAACUACCGGCUCAACUGGGAGUCGCACUCAAAACUGCAGCUCUUGAGUGAAGGAGAGGCAGGCGGAAUUCCUGGUGUAGCGGUGAAAUGCGUAGAUAUUAGGAGGAACACCAGUGGCGAAGGCGGCCUGCUGGGCUUUUACUGACGCUGAGGAUCGAAAGUGUGGGGAGCAAACAGGAUUAGAUACCCUUGUAGUC